rnacentral:lncRNA from 1 species
AGAGAAUCGGUAAGUGCCGCAAUUCUUGAAAAACCGAGCACGCAUUGAAAAAAAAAAUAAUAAUAAAAAAAUUAGAAAAGACAAACAUCUGUUUUGUGAAUACGAUGUGAAAAGAAAAGAAAAAAAUAGAGAAAAUAAAAAUGAAUGUUUGCUUGGAAGAAAAAUAGUGAAAAACAAAAAUUGAGUUGUGAAGGUUUCAAAUGAGAAACAAAUGGAAC